CACUGUGCUCAGAUUCAAGUAAAACUGGCUAAUCCUUUUCGAAUAGGACAGGCACAUACAGUGAGGGUGGAUGGGGAGCCUUGGGCCCAAGGGCCCUGCACUGUCACCAUAACUCACAAGACACAUGCAAUGAUGUUAUAUUUCUCUGGAGAACAAACAGAUGAUGACAUCUCUAGUACUUCGGAUCAAGAAGAUAUAAAGGCGACUGAAUAGAUGGAUGAGGGAGUGAAAACUUUGCAUAGAAUCCUCACGCAAGUAGAUACAUGUUCAUCCAAAAGUAUUAAUAGAAAUUCUCUAUCAGCUAUUCAGUCUUAAUUUCACUAGUAGUAUAAUGGGUAUACAUUUUUGUAAAUAGCAUCCCCAAACCAGCCAGCCUUCAGUUAUUUACAAAUGUUUGUUCUUUUUUCAGCAAAAUACUUCAAAUGAAUAGUAUUAACUUACAAAAAGUCACAAAAACUUACAUGAGAGUGAAAAUUUGUUAUGACUGUUUUGAGAGUGGGACUCACUCUGAAGUAUGUGCUGUCUCAUGUCUUAUUUUUGAACCAUGCAUAUGAUGGACACACAAUGGAUGGACACAUUAUAUCUCCAACAAGGUGUGGGUGGAAAGAUCAAAUUAACCUGCUUUUUUGAAAGGAAAUGAUUACUGUCAAACCAGCAUGGUUAAUUGUGAGCAUCCUCCUGCAGCAUGCCCCUUAAGAUUUUCUACAACCC
rnacentral:lncRNA from 1 species